rnacentral:rRNA from 1 species
AGUGAACGCUGGCGGUAGGCCUAACACAUGCAAGUCGAACGGCAGCACAGUAAGAGCUUGCUCUUAUGGGUGGCGAGUGGCGGACGGGUGUGGAAUACACCGGACUUUACUUUUUCGUGGGGGAUAACGUAGGGAAACUUACGCUAAUACCGCAUACGACCUACGGGUGAAAGCAGGGGAUCUUCGGACCUUGCGCGAUUGAAUGAGCCGAUGUCAGAUUAGCUAGUUGGCGGGGUACAGGCCCACCCAGGCGCCGAUCCGUAGGUGGUCUUAGAGGAUGAUCAGCCACACUGGAACUGAGACACGGUCCAGACUCCUGCGGGAGGCAACAGUGGGGAAUAUUAGACAAUGGGCGCAAGGCUGAUCCAGCCAUACCGCGUGGGUGAAGAAGGCCUUCGGGUUGUAAAGCCAUUUUGUUGGGAAAGAAAAGCAGCAGGUUAAUACCCCGCUGUUCUGACGGUACCCAAAGAAUAAGCACCGGCUAACUUCGUG